ACUCCUACGGGAGGCAGCAGUAAGGAAUAUUACGCAAUGGACGAAAGUCUGACGCAGCGACGCCGCGUGGGGGAUGAAGGUCUUCGGAUUGUGAACCCCUUUCGGGAGGGAAGAUGGAGUGGGUAACCACUUGGACGGUACCUCCAGAAGCAGCCGCGGCUAACUUCGUGCCAGCAGCCGCGGUAAUACGAAGGAGGCAAGCGUUGUUCGGAUUCACUGGGCGUACAGGGAGCGUAGGCGGUUGGGUAAGCCCUCCGUGAAAUCUCCGGGCCUAACCCGGAAAGUGCAGAGGGGACUGCUCAGCUAGAGGAUGGGAGAGGAGCGCGGAAUUCCCG
rnacentral:rRNA from 1 species